AACGAACGCUGGCGGCAUGCCUAACACAUGCAAGUCGAACGAAGGCCCGGUGCUUGCACCGGAUACCUUAGUGGCGGACGGGUGAGUAACGCGUGGGAACCUGCCCUGGAGCGGGGGACAACCACUGGAAACGGUGGCUAAUACCGCAUACGCCCUUUGGGGGAAAGGCUUCGGCCACUCCUGGAUGGUCCCGCGUCUGAUUAGCUAGUUGGUAGGGUAAUGGCCUACCAAGGCGACGAUCAGUAGCUGGUUUGAGAGGAUGAUCAGCCACACUGGGACUGAGACACGGCCCAG
rnacentral:rRNA from 1 species